rnacentral:rRNA from 1 species
CCUAGCGGCGGACGGGUGAGUAAUGCUUAGGAAUCUGCCUAUUAGUGGGGGACAACRUUCCGAAAGGAAUGCUAAUACCGCAUACGCCCUACGGGGGAAAGCAGGGGAUCUUCGGACCUUGCGCUAAUAGAUGAGCCUAAGUCAGAUUAGCUAGUUGGUGGGGUAAAGGCCUACCAAGGCGACGAUCUGUAGCGGGUCUGAGAGGAUGAUCCGCCACACUGGGACUGAGACACGGCCCAGACUCCUACGGGAGGCAGCAGUGGGGAAUAUUGGACAAUGGGCGAAAGCCUGAUCCAGCCAUGCCGCGUGUGUGAAGAAGGCCUUUUGGUUGUAAAGCACUUUAAGCGAGGAGGAGGCUACUUAGAUUAAUACUCUAGGAUAGUGGACGUUACUCGCAGAAUAAGCACCGGCUAACUCUGUGCCAGCAGCCGCGGUAAUACAGAGGGUGCGAGCGUUAAUCGGAUUUACUGGGCGUAAAGCGUGCGUAGGCGGCUUCUUAAGUCGGAUGUGAAAUCCCUGAGCUUAACUUAGGAAUUGCAUUCGAUACUGGRAAGCUAGAGUAUGGGAGAGGAUGGUAGAAUUCCAGGUGUAGCGGUGAAAUGCGUAGAGAUCUGGAGGAAUACCGAUGGCGAAGGCAGCCAUCUGGCCUAAUACUGACGCUGAGGUACGAAAGCAUGGGGAGCAAACAGGAUUAGAUACCCUGGUAGUCCAUGCCGUAAACGAUGUCUACUAGCCGUUGGGGCCUUUGAGGCUUUAGUGGCGCAGCUAACGCGAUAAGUAGACCGCCUGGGGAGUACGGUCGCAAGACUAAAACUCAAAUGAAUUGACGGGGGCCCGCACAAGCGGUGGAGCAUGUGGUUUAAUUCGAUGCAACGCGAAGAACCUUACCUGGUCUUGACAUAGUAAGAACUUUCCAGAGAUGGAUUGGUGCCUUCGGGAACUUACAUACAGGUGCUGCAUGGCUGUC